rnacentral:rRNA from 1 species
GACGAACGCUGGCGGCGUGCUUAACACAUGCAAGUCGAACGGAAAGGCCCUUCUUUUGUGGGGGUCUCGAGUGGCGAACGGGUGAGUAACACGUGAGUAACCUGCCCGUGACUUUGGGAUAACUUCAGGAAACUGGGGCUAAUACCGGAUAGGAGCUCCUGCGGCAUGGUGGGGGUUGGAAAGUUUGGGCGGUUGGGGAUGGACUGGCGGGUUAUCAGCUUGUUGGUGGGGUAGUGGCUUACCAAGGCUGUGACGGGGAGCCGGCCUGAGAGGGUGACCGGCGACAUUGGGACUGAGAGAAGGCACAGACUGGUACGGGAGGAAGAAGGGGGGAAGAUUGCACAAUGGGCGGCAGCUGGAUGCAGCAGCGCCGCGUGCUGGAUGACGGCCUUGGGGUGGUAAACCGCUUUGGCCUGUGACGAAGCGUGAGUGAAGGUAAUGGGUAAAGAAGCACCGGCUAACUAAGUG